UACGUAGGGGGCUAGCGUUGUUCGGAUUCACUGGGCUUAAAGGGCGCGUAGGCGGCUUGCCAAGUCAGGGGUGAAAUCUUUCGGCUCAACCGGAAAACAGCCCCUGAUACUGGCGGGCUGGAGGGAGGUAGGGGCGGAUGGAACUUCCGGUGGAGCGGUGAAAUGCGUAGAUAUCGGAAGGAACGCCGGUGGCGAAAGCGAUCCGCUGGACCUCUUCUGACGCUGAUGCGCGAAAGCCAGGGGAGCAAACGGG
rnacentral:rRNA from 1 species